UGAGGGAUAUUGCACAAUGGGCGAAAGCCUGAUGCAGCAACGCCGCGUGAGGGAAGACGGUCUUCGGAUUGUAAACCUCUGUCUUCGGUGACGAACAAAUGACGGUAGCCGGGGAGGAAGCCACGGCUAACUACGUGCCAGCAGCCGCGGUAAUACGUAGGUGGCGAGCGUUGUCCGGAAUUACUGGGUGUAAAGGGAGCGCAGGCGGGACAGCAAGUUGGAUGUGAAAUACCGAGGCUUAACUUCGGAGCUGCAUCCAAAACUGUUGUUCUUGAGUGGAGUAGAGGCAAGCGGAAUUCCGAGUGUAGCGGUGAAAUGCGUAGAUAUUCGGAGGAACACCAGUGGCGAAGGCGGCUUGCUGGGCUCUAACUGACGCUGAGGCUCGAAAGUGUGGGGAGCAAACAGG
rnacentral:rRNA from 1 species